rnacentral:rRNA from 1 species
UACAGAGGUCUCAAGCGUUGUUCGGAUUCAUUGGGCGUAAAGGGUGCGUAGGCGGCGCGGUAAGUCGGGUGUGAAAUCUCGGGGCUUAACUCCGAAACUGCAUUCGAUACUGCCGUGCUUGAGGACUGGAGAGGAGACUGGAAUUUACGGUGUAGCGGUGAAAUGCGUAGAUAUCUGGAGGAACACCGGUGGCGAAGGCGGCGUCUGGACUGCAACUGACACUGAAAAACGAAAGCCAGGGGAGCAACGGG